UUGAGUGACAAAGAGAUCAGCUCAUGAUUUCAAUCUCAAACAAGUUCACCACUUUUGAUCCAAUCAAUGUCUUUUAGACUCUGGGGCUGAAUCAUUCUAUUGUAAAAUGUUGGAGUUGGAAGGGAUUGUGGACCAGUUUACAGUUUCUCUCGAGGCUUGGAUUCUGCUCGGAAAAAGGAGUCUCCCUAACUCUAAUCAACUUUCAGGCAAUCAAGAGAGUUUGAUUAUAAGGUCUACAUUUAACUUUGUCAUGAUUAGAGAUUUUCAUAUUUGUUUUCCUUAUUAGUGAUGGAGUAAACCAAAAUUUAGGAAGUGACUUGACAUAACUUGUUUGAAUUUAUUUGAAGAAGCAUGCCUUGAAAUUCCAUAAUUAGGGUUUUGAAUUAAAAUGUUGAUAACACAACUAGUUGAUUUUGAUUGGUAAAUUCCAUAAUUCGGGUUUGAUUAAAAGGACUACGUCUUUUUAGUGUAUCAAUCAAGGCUCUAGGACUGUUUGAUCACAUUGAAUUCAAAAUUUUGUAUUGGCUGCUCGAAAGAAAAUAUAUACUAAGAAGUCUAUUGUUAUGUAAGGUAGACUAAAGAUGUGCACGAGAGAGUUGCAUUUUCUUCUUCCCAAUUCCCAAAUUUGAUGUUUGCUAUCUUUAGCGGACUUGAACCUGAAUGCAUUUCUUGGGUCUUGCCAAGGAAGUAGAUAUUGGAAAUGGUACAUCUGAUGUGAAGAGGUAAGUCCUUGGUGAGCUAUAUUUUAGGUUUUUAACAAUUGACGGAUAUAUGUUUCUACUUUUAACUUUUUGAGCCCUCGACGGAUUUCUUGUUGCAAUCAUUGUUUCGUAUUUACAACCAAUAUGUUGCAUAUCAUAGGUUAUAAACUAGAUGAAAUCUUAUGUUCUUUGAGUUAAAAAUCCAGAUACUUUUGCACCCCAUUUCGAGUAGUAGUAAUGAGAAAAGGUCUUAUAUGCAUCUCUCGUUUCAAGUACCAGAAUGUGUUGUUGUGAGAUUUCUGGUUCCAUCGUCUAGUGUUUGUUGGAAUCACUCAUUCAUGGAUUUUGUACCAUCUGUGGCUCCGUUUUUGAUGUACACCUUGUACUUGUAACGUUGCAGAACAAGCACAUGAGAGGCAGGCUGAAUAACUCAAUAAUUCCUUACUCAAAUGUUUUAUUUUCUUUCUUCAUACCUUUAACCUCCUAUCAAACAGGUAAAGUGGUGUGAAUUUCAGUUGCUGGACAUGGUAUUGAACAAACUGCUUGCACAGUAUUGUUUUACAACCUUAAAACCGAGUAUUUCCUUGUUAAACUGUUCAUCUUCCCCUUAACCAACUAAUAAUUAUAAUUUUGUUUCAGGUUCUUUUCUUUUCAGUGGACCACGGAGUAUUUCAGCAAAUUAAGGGCUUCAAGUACACGGGCUUGGUGGUUCAGUCUUCAGCAAAACAAGAUGAAAGUAAGAGACAGGUGAACUUCAUUGACAAAGUGUUAAAUUUUUGUGAUCAAGUGUUGUUUAUAUUGGGAUUGUGGACCAGUAUACUGUUUUUUCCAAUGGUUGGCUUCUGCUCUAAAAAGGAGUUUCCCUAACUCUAGGAAAGACUAUGCGCCACUUAGGGCUGCCCGACAUUUAGGCAUUCUGCGUCUAUUUGGUGUAGAAAAUCAAGCUAUUUUC